UACGGGGGGUACAAGCGUUAUUCGGAAUUAUUGGGCGUAAAGGGCGCGUAGGCGGUUGAAUAAGUCAGAUGUGAAAGCCCUUGGCUUAACCAAGGAAGUGCAUUUGAUACUAUUUGACUUGAGUAUGGGAGAGGGAAGUGGAAUUCCUGGUGUAGAGGUGAAAUUCGUAGAUAUCAGGAGGAACACCGGUGGCGAAAGCGACUUCCUGGACCAAUACUGACGCUGAGGCGCGAAAGCUAGGGGAGCAAACGGG
rnacentral:rRNA from 1 species